rnacentral:misc_RNA from 1 species
UCGGUGUUCUCGGAGCGGUGA